AUAGAGGGAACAGGUGGAGAGGACUGGAGCAGUGGCUGAGAACACACAUCUUAAACUACAAGUGGGAAGCAGAGAGAAUAUACUCAAAAUGGAAUUUUGAACAUUUAUCUAAUGCCUUAGUAAUAAAUCCAUUUCCUCCAUGGACAAGAUGGUCUUUACUCAUUUAUGCAUGGACAGUGAAGUUCUUCUCUUCUUGAUGCAAAAUAUUGUCAUCUUUUUAUAAUUUUCUAAAUAUAAGUGAACCAGGACACCAGUUGAGAGCCAGUGUCUUCUGUAACUUACAAGCAAGCUGCAUCUAUGUAUGAAGCCUCAGCAAUAGAGAUGAGUAAGCAUAACCUUGCACAAAAACAGCACCAGUUGACCUGCCACUGUGGAAGGAAGGUUUGGCUCUCUUCCAAAGCACUAGUAAAGAAGUGAGGUCUCUGAGGAAAUACAAGAGGCAAGAGGCAGGUGACAGAUCUGCAAGAAAAUCCCUAGGAAAAAAAUAGAACUGACUUUGUAAUCACAACAGCUACAACUCUGGACCUUUGUGGCAAAUUACUCUAAAUGCAAAACGGAAACAGGCAAUGAUAGGAAAAUAUGAUCUGAGGCAGUUAUUGGACCGAAAAUUAGGAAGAAUGACGUCAGGUUCUCUUCCAUGAGAAAAGAAUCGCUGUUUGCAGUAAUGGGGGAGAGAAAAACAGGAAACUAAAUAUCCUUAGAGUCAUGGAAUUGUAGAUCAAAUACUGUUGCUAGUGAGACUAUGACUUUUUGCCUGUGAGCUUCCAUUUUCUCAUUGCAAUAUUACAACAAUAAAACCUAUUUUUAUUGGUCAAGC
rnacentral:lncRNA from 1 species